ACUGCCUGAUGGAGGGGAUUAACUACUGGAAACGGUAGCUAAUACCGCAUUACGUCGCAAGACCAAAGAGGGGGACCUUCGGGCCUCUUGCCAUCGGAUGUGCCCAGAUGGGAUUAGCUAGUAGGUGGGGUAACGGCUCACCUAGGCGACGAUCCCUAGCUGGUCUGAGAGGAUGACCAGCCACACUGGAACUGAGACACGGUCCAGACUCCUACGGGAGGCAGCAGUGGGGAAUAUUGCACAAUGGGCGCAAGCCUGAUGCAGCCAUGCCGCGUGUAUGAAGAAGGCCUUCGGGUUGUAAAGUACUUUCAGCGGGGAGGAAGGGAGUAAAGUUAAUACCUUUGCUCAUUGACGUUACCCGCAGAAGAAGCACCGGCUAACUCCGUGCCAGCAGCCGCGGUAAUACGGAGGGUGCAAGCGUUAAUCGGAAUUACUGGGCGUAAAGCGCACGCAGGCGGUUUGUUAAGUCAGAUGUGAAAUCCCCGGGCUCAACCUGGGAACUGCAUCUGAUACUGGCAAGCUUGAGUCUCGUAGAGGGGGGUAGAAUUCCAGGUGUAGCGGUGAAAUGCGUAGAGAUCUGG
rnacentral:rRNA from 1 species